rfam:Paramecium tetraurelia chromosome undetermined scaffold_138, whole genome shotgun sequence.
GCCCUCCUAGCUCAGUUGGUCAGAGCGUUGGCCUUUUAAGCCAAAUGUCAAGGGUUCGACCCCCUUGGAGGGCG